rnacentral:misc_RNA from 1 species
AACCAUUCUCACCUGCGGCUAGACCUGCGGAGGGAUCAUUACUGAGUCACGUGCUCAAACAACCCUUCUGUGGACCUGAAAUAAAACCGUUGCCUCGGCGGGCGGUCCCCCCCAAACCAACCCCACGUGGUGGGUUAGGGGAGACCAGACAGUCCGGUACGCUUAAGGCGUCCGGCGCCAGCCGCUGGCCCCAAACAAUUAAACUCUAGUAAUCUUUACCUUCUGAAUUUCAAUAUUUAA